rnacentral:rRNA from 1 species
UCGGGAAUUUUGGGCAAUGGGCGAAAGCCUGACCCAGCAACGCCGCGUGAAGGAUGAAGUAUUUCGGUAUGUAAACUUCGAAAGAAUAGGAAGAAUAAAUGACGGUACUAUUUGUAAGGUCCGGCUAACUACGUGCCAGCAGCCGCGGUAAUACGUAGGGACCAAGCGUUGUUCGGAUUUACUGGGCGUAAAGGGCGCGUAGGCGGCGUGGUAAGUCAUCUGUGAAAUCUCCGAGCUUAACUCGGAACGGUCAGAUGAUACUGCUGUGCUAGAGUACAGAAGGGGCAAUCGGAAUUCUUGGUGUAGCGGUGAAAUGCGUAGAUAUCAAGAGGAACACCUGAGGCGAAGGCGGGUUGCUGGGCUGAUACUGACGCUGAGGCGCGAAAGCUAGGGUAGCAAACGGGAUUAGAUACCCAAGUAGUCCCUGAGCGGGCUGGCAAGGCGCAU